AAGCACCCUUGCCUUCUACCCUGAGACUUAGAAUAACCCAAGACGUUCAACAUGGUAAAAGCUGUAGCGAUGCUCUUCAUUCUCAUAACUGAGAUUUCUACCAUGAUGCCCAUAAUAGUAUCAAGCCGUAAUCUCUUCCCAUCAAUUCCCAAUGUGCCAAUAGCAAAAGGAUCUCCAGUAAUUCCUAAGGCUCCAAUUGGAAGUGACACUACAUCAUCUCCUAGUGCAGCCUCAACAGCUAGCCCUCCACAAGGUUCUACUGGAGAAAAGCCAUGUCCAGAAGGCUUUCCAAAGUUGGUGUCUUGUAUAAGCUUGCUUGGCACUAAUCUACGCUUUGGCGGAGGUAAUGUUACAAAAGAGUGUUGUCCUGUUAUAGAGGGAGUUUUGUCCACAGGCACAGCAUUAUGUUUCUGUAAAAUACUUAAGGCUAAACUUCUGGGUAUGGAUUUGGUCAUCCCAGUAGCUCUCCAGCUAUUUGAUACAUGCGGUUUGAAUCCUCCAGAAGGAUUCACAUGUCCAGAUGUAUAAGGUCCAGAAAUAAGCUUGAAGAUUGAAGAUUGAAGAAGAGAAGAUCCUAGUUAUUUCUGGUGAAUAAUAUGUAUAAUUGCCUAUUAUGUAGUUGGUCAUAUACGUUAAAUAAGCAUCAUCUCUGGUGCAAAUCUUUGUAUUGUUUUUGUAAAUGUUUUAUUUCGCACAUGAUGUAUUGAAAUAAAACCUUCUCUGGUAAUUGCUAGACCAGGUCUGCUUUACUGUCUAACUUAUUGAUACAAUUUGGAAUCGAAAACAAACACUCUCGUGCUCUUGACAAUUCAGAGGAAUAUGAAAAAAUAUAUCUAGCUUUUCAUUGGCUUGAGAGAUCAAACAGCAUUAUUGAAAUGUAAGCCUAGAUUACAUAGACUACUAUUGAGAUAUUAAUCUUACUUUCUAUUGAGAGGCAAAGUUUUGUUAUAGUUUAACAAAUAUUUAGGGCAGUGAGAUCUGUAUUUGACCAGAUAAACAUGUUCUGAAGCAUUACAUUAUUUGUCCUUGCAUAUAUGAUCAAGGUUUAAGCGUUCAUGUA